GUGUAUGUGUAUAGAAACUUGAUUUAGGAUUAAACAGAAGAAAAAAAAUUAUGAGUUUUAGGGUUUCUGAUUUGGCUCCUCUGCACAGAUGCAAUGCUGGAGUGGUCUGGAAAUGGGCGACAGAAUGAAUGCUUUUUGGCAUGCCCAAGUCAUAAAUGUUCCCAAGAGUGCAAUGCAACAUUCCAUCCAUCCACGUCUUCAUCUACCUCUCAUUCAUUAAUCUAUUUUCAUCUCUGUCCGUAGUAUUUUAUUCCCACUCUUCUCUCUCUUGUUACAGCCCAUAUCAAGGUAUUGUUCUGAAUGAAUAAGGGCUUGCUUCUGGUUGAUUUUAAUAUGUGAAUGAAAUACU
rnacentral:lncRNA from 1 species